AGUGAACGCUGGCGGUAGGCCUAACACAUGCAAGUCGAACGGCAGCACAGUAAGAGCUUGCUCUUACGGGUGGCGAGUGGCGGACGGGUGAGGAAUACAUCGGAAUCUACUUUUUCGUGGGGGAUAACGUAGGGAAACUUACGCUAAUACCGCAUACGACCUACGGGUGAAAGCAGGGGAUCUUCGGACCUUGCGCGAUUGAAUGAGCCGAUGUCGGAUUAGCUAGUUGGCGGGGUAAAGGCCCACCAAGGCGACGAUCCGUAGCUGGUCUGAGAGGAUGAUCAGCCACACUGGAACUGAGACACGGUCCAGACUCCUACGGGAGGCAGCAGUGGGGAAUAUUGGACAAUGGGCGCAAGCCGGAUCCAGCCAUACCGCGUGGGUGAAGAAGGCCUUCGGGUUGUAAAGCCCUUUUGUUGGGAAAGAAAAGCAGCAGGUUAAUACCCCGCUGUUCUGACGGUACCCAAAGAAGAAGCACCGGCUAACUUCGUG
rnacentral:rRNA from 1 species